UACAGAGGCCUCAAGCGUUAGGCGGAAUCACUGGGCUUAAAGCGUGUGUAGGCGGAUCAUUAAGUGCCUUGUGAAAUCCCACGGCUUACCCGUGGAACUGCUGGGCAUACUGAUGAUCUUGAGCCAUCUAGGGGCUACUGGAACAAACGGUGGAGCGGUGAAAUGCGUAGAUAUCGUUUGGAACGCCAAUGGUGAAGACAGGUAGCUGGGGAUGUGCUGACGCUGAGACACGAAAGCCAGGGGAGCAAACGGG
rnacentral:rRNA from 1 species